AGAGUUUGAUCAUGGCUCAGGACGAACGCUGGCGGCGUGCCUAAAACAUGCAAGUCGAACGAGGCCCUCGGGUCUAGUGGCGAACGGCGGAGUAAUACAUAAGUAACGUGCCUUGAAGAUCGGGACAAACGCAGAAAUGCCAUAAAUACCGGAUGUGGUUAGUGAUGGGCAUCCAUCGCUAAUUAAAUGGUUUUUCGCUUCAAGAGCGGCUUAUGAUGCAUCAGGUAGUUGGUGGGGUAAAGGCCUACCAAGCCUACGACGCAUAGGGGGUCUGAGAGGAUGACCCCCCCGAGAGGGACUGAGACACGGCCCUCACACCUACGGGUGGCAGCAGUUGGGAAUCGUUGUCAAUGGGGGAAACCCUGAACACGCGACGCCGCGUGGUGGAUGAAGGCCUUAGGGUUGUAAACACCUUUUGCACGGAAAGACUUAGGACGGUACCGUGCGAAUAAGCUCCGGCUAACUACGUGCCAGCAGCCGCGGUAAGACGUAGGGAGCAAGCGUUGUCCGGAUUUACUGGGCGUAAAGAGCGCGUAGGCGGUCUGUUAAGUGAGAAGUGAAAUUUUCAGGGCUCAACCCGGAAACUGCUUUUCAUACUGGCAGACUAGAGGAUUGCAGAGGUAAUUGGAAUUCCCGGUGUAGCGGUGACAUGCAUUGAUAUCGGGAGGAACACCAAAGGCGAAGGCAGAUUACUGGGCAUUUCCUGACGCUGAGGCGCGAAAGCGUGGGUAGCAAACAGAAUUAGAUACUCUGGUAGUCCACGCCCUAAACGAUGGAUACUAGGCGUAAGAGGUAUCGACCCCUCUUGUGCCGCAGCUAACGCAUUAAGUAUCCCGCCUGGGGAGUACGGCCGCAAGGUUGAAACUCAAAUGAAUUGACGGGGACCCGCACAAGCGGUGGAGCAUGUGGAUUAAUUCGAUACUAACCGAAGAACCUUACCCAGGUUUGACAUCGAGGGAAUAGCGUAGAGAUGCGUUAGUUCACUCACAAGGUGAACCCGAAGACACUUGUUGCAUGGCUGUCGUCAGCUCGUGCCGUGAGGUGUACGGUUAAGUCCGCCAACGAGCGCAACCCUCGUCCUAUGUUACCAACAGAUAAUGCUGGGGACUCAUGGGAGACUGCCAUCGUAAGAUGGAGGAAGGUGAGGAUGACGUCAAGUCAGCAUGGCAGUUACGCCUGGGGCUUCACACAUGCUACAAUGGAUAAAACAAACGGCAGCAAUACCGCGAGGUGGAGCAAAUCCGAAAAAUAUAUCCUCAGUUCAGAUUAUAGUCUGCAACUCGACUAUAUGAAGGCGGAAUCGCUAGUAAACGCAGGUCAGAUAUACUGCGUUGAAUACGUUCCCGGGUCUUGUACACACCGCCCGUCAAGUCACCUGAAUUGUCUUCACCCGAAGUCCGUGGCCUAACCGUAAGGAGGGAGCGGCCGAAGGUGAGGGGGGUAAGGGGGACUAAGUCGUAACAAGGUAGCCGUA
rnacentral:rRNA from 1 species